AUUGAACGCUGGCGGCAUGCCUUACACAUGCAAGUCGAACGGCAGCACGGGUGCUUGCACCUGGUGGCGAGUGGCGAACAGGUGAGUAAUACAUCGGAACGUACCUUAUCGUGGGGGAUAACGCAGCGAAAGCUGUGCUAAUACCGCAUACGCCCUGAGGGGGAAAGCGGGGGAUCGCAAGACCUCGCGCGAUUAGAGCGGCCGAUGCCUGAUUAGCUAGUUGGUGGGGUAAAAGCCCACCAAGGCGACGAUCAGUAGCUGGUCUGAGAGGACGAUCAGCCACACUGGGACUGAGACACGGCCCAGACUCCUACGGGAGGCAGCAGUGGGGAAUUUUGGACAAUGGGGGCAACCCUGAUCCAGCAAUGCCGCGUGGGUGAAGGAGGCCUUCGGGUUGUAAAGCUCUUUUGUCAGGGAAGAAACACCGGCUCUAACACAGUCCGGGAAUGACGGUACCUGAAGAAUAAGCACCGGCUAACUACGUGCCAGCAGCCGCAGUAA
rnacentral:rRNA from 1 species